rnacentral:misc_RNA from 1 species
AACACUGUUAACCUGCGGUACCUGCGGAAGGAUCAUUAUUGAAUAAACUUGGUCAAGCUGUUGCUGGUCCUUCGGGACAUGUGCACGCUUGCCACCAAUUUUAACCACCUGUGCACUUUUUGUAGACUUGGAAACGUUUCUCGAGGCAACUCGGAUUGAGAACUGCUGGCGCAAGUCGGCUUUUCUUAUGUUUUCUCAGUCUAUGUUUUCAUAUACACCUAAUGUAUGUAUCAUAAUGUA